GGCGAACGCUGGCGGCGUGCUUAACACAUGCAAGUCGAACGGAAAGGCCCUGCUUUUGUGGGGUGCUCGGGUGGCGAACGGGUGAGUAACACGUGAGUAACCUGCCCUUGACUUUGGGAUAACUUCAGGAAACUGGGGCUAAUACCGGAUAGGAGCUCCUGCUGCAUGGUGGGGGUUGGAAAGUUUCGGCGGUUGGGGAUGGACUCGCGGCUUAUCAGCUUGUUGGUGGGGUAGUGGCUUACCAAGGCUUUGACGGGUAGCCGGCCUGAGAGGGUGACCGGCCACAUUGGGACUGAGAUACGGCCCAGACUCCUACGGGAGGCAGCAGUGGGGAAUAUUGCACAAUGGGCGGAAGCCUGAUGCAGCAACGCCGCGUGCGGGAUGACGGCCUUCGGGUUGUAAACCGCUUUCGCCUGUGACGAAGCGUGAGUGACGGUAAUGGGUAAAGAAGCACCGGCUAACUACGUG
rnacentral:rRNA from 1 species